GGGUUUUCCCUCCAGAAGAAGGGUCAGAUGUAAUUCCUCGAAAAAUGUGGAUGGUGAUGAUAAAACUUCCUCGUUUCUAACGAAAUAUCUUAUCCUUUUUUAUUACAGUAGAUCUAACCAUUUCUCGUUUUUUUAUCAGUUUCAGACAACCUUUAUUUUAUUUUGUUUAGAGCUCCAGAGAAAAAACUCAGAUGAUGAUCUGAUUAGAGCAAACCAGCAAGCUUCACAACCCUAAAAGCCAUAUUUCUCUUCAUAUCUAAAAGCCUUUUUUCUUUUCCCGAAAACCCUAUUUAUAUUUAUAACUUCAUAAUCCUAUUCGUGAAACCCUAUUUUAAUUUUCAAUCUUUAUCAGUAGAAUACCUUCCGGCCAGUGUAGUUGGGUUUAUCUUCAGAAGACUUUAAGUCAGUUGGAUUUAUCAAAUAACUACAGAUAACUAUGGCUAGGGGUCCUGCAAGUAGCAGCAGAUCUCGUCGUGCUUCAAGUCCUAGCACAAAUCCAGCAUCUACUUGGCGUCCUUUGGUUGAUACACGAAGAUAUUCAUCAAAUGAUGGUGACAGUCAUGGAAGUCCAUCUGCAAGUAAUGGGCAUAGGUCUCUUCCAUCAUAUGAGGGUCACUAUUCACCUAGUCAUGGUCAGGGGAGUCUAUUGUCUGGGGGUGAGCCAUGGCCUGAGGCUUUACAGCGGACAAACAACGAUAGUGAAGCUUACAAUAGUGAAGAAAGCGUAAUUGGUGAUUAACGUCUUCCAAUUGACGUUUAGGAAAUGCAAAGGGAGAGCAAAAUGUCUGCAAGAAAAAAAGUUCGGAGAAACAUAUUACCAAGGCUAACACUCUCCGUUACAUUUUUCGUUGUUAUUGUAAUAUGCAACAGAGCUCUAAUGAGUACUCUUCGAUCUCCAUUCAGUAAGGAUUCAAUUACAUUUUUAUUGAAACUAUGUCCACAAGCACCUUUUAUUGUGUUUCCGUUUAAUAUUUCAAUUGGACUUACGUUAGAAUCUUUGUGAUUUGUUUGAGCAUCAUGGGGAUUAGAGGGUAAUUAAACAUGUUUUUGGUUGAUAUAAAACUGAUAAUAGGUCGAUAAAUGAAUGUGGCAGGAUAGAUUUCAUGAGUAGCAUUUCUAAAGUGCUUAAAAGAAUAUCAAAAGAGGUUUAUACUAUUCAUUUUGGUUUCUCGCGAAGCUAUCUAGUUAUUGUAUUCCAUUUUCUUGGAAUAAAUAGGUAGUUUUGUUGUCCUCCACUAUUUUUUUUGGUCCUUAGAAGGAAGAGAAGGAUACAAUAUGUUUCGAGUCUGUUAUAUUUCAAUGGAAAAUAGAAUUUGGUGUGGGUUCAAAAUGUUAUAGGGUAUUGUAUCCCUAUUGUUUUCUACAGAAUUAAGCAUCACUCGAAAUUUACCACUCACAAGAUUUAAGAUCGCGUUGUUUGAUAGCUCAAGUAAAUGCUUGAUGAUGAUUAUAUAAAAAUAACAACUAUUUCAUUCACUUACCAAUUGAGCGAUUGCAUUUGAAACUUUCAUUUGAAGUCAGCUUGUUCAUACACACUCUUGCUAUUUGAGCGAUUAGCUUUCUAGACACCGCUAAAGAAUAAAAUUAAUCAUUUGUGUAUGCUAUUGUAAGUUGGGAAGUCCAUGUUUUGUAGGUGAAAAGAAAAGGUUACAAUUUGUGGAACUCCCUGAUAUGAUUUUAGUGUCCUGAUUGAUGCUGCAAAGUAUACCUAUGUUGUGUUGUUACUGGUUGAUGCAAGUUAUGGGUUUGAAGUGGUGAGAUGAAUUUUUACAACCUGUAAUUGGUUGUUUUUGUUUAAUAUGGUGAUGUUAUUGUUGAUACAUUGAGGAGGUUACUUCUAUUAAUAUCUUCCAGCUCUGUACCUGACUCCAUGUUGUUGUUUUUACUUACCAACUAGUCCUUAUACCUGACUUAGCUCAUUUGGUACUAGUUGAAAGUUCUGGCUCAGAAGUUGUGGUUGCAAAAGCAAGAAACCUUGAAGACUCUGGUGUUGAAAUGCAAUUGUUUGCCAGAAGUUGAACUUAAUAAUUGCGAAUCUCUGAUGAAUUCUAUUUAUGGAAUUUUUAGUGAUAUGGUGAUUGUACGGUGCUCUAGUCACUGGCCCUCGACAAUUGCGAGGUUGGUAUCUGGUAUCUUAAUUUUGGUAUAUCCCCUAAAUUGGAAGCACUUGCCAUUGCAACACCAUAGAAUUGAAGAAAAUGAUUUGAUGUCCUGCCAAACUGUUGGUCAUGAUGGCCUCUCCGAUGUUGGCUAUCACAUUUGACAUUCCUUGAUUUAUCAUAUACUUUCUCGUUGAACUAGCAACCUGUUUGCGAUUCCUGCUUGCAAUUGAAAGUAGAUUUCAACUUUGAUCCCUUAAACGAAGGCAUGGAUGGUGAAGUCUUGCCUUCAACUUUUUGGUUGUUAAGCUUGUAAUAGAAAAAUAAAUUUUAUGCAUUUGAAGUGUCCUUAGUUGGAAACUGUAAAAAAGAAAUUCAGUUUCGAUCAAUGUAAUUUUUUGAUUAAUACAGUUUAAAGUAAACAUUAAU